AGUGAACGCUGGCGGUAGGCCUAACACAUGCAAGUCGAACGGCAGCACAGUAAGAGCUUGCUCUUACGGGUGGCGAGUGGCGGACGGGUGAGGAAUACAUCGGAAUCUACUUUUUCGUGGGGGAUAACGUAGGGAAACUUACGCUAAUACCGCAUACGACCUACGGGUGAAAGCAGGGGAUCUUCGGACCUUGCGCGAUUGAAUGAGCCGAUGUCGGAUUAGCUAGUUGGCGGGGUAAAGGCCCACCAAGGCGACGAUCCGUAGCUGGUCUGAGAGGAUGAUCAGCCACACUGGAACUGAGACACGGUCCAGACUCCUACGGGAGGCAGCAGUGGGGAAUAUUGGACGAUGGGCGCAGGCCUGAUCCAGCCAUACCGCGUGGGUGAAGAAGGCCUUCGGGUUGUAAAGCCCUUUUGUUGGGAAAGAAAAGCAGCAGGUGAAUACCCCGCUGUUCUGACGGUACCCAAAGAAUAAGCACGGGCUAACUUCGUG
rnacentral:rRNA from 1 species